UCUCUAUCCAUCGUCACAACCCAAAAUUCCAUCAAAGACCCACGAAAUCUAAACUCUAACCAUCCCUCAAGCCUCCAUGGCAGAAGCUCUCUCUCUCUUUCUCUCUCUCUCUCUCUCUCUCUCUCUCUCUCUCAUCAGUAACUUUUAGGGCUGGGCAUCUGAGGACCGCCCUCGCCGCCUACUCGAUGUCACACGCCACUGCACAGAUGCAGACCAUUGUCUCGCUCUGAUAUGUAGUUGCUCAUCUUCGAUAUCUGCAAUCGGACAAGCGUGAGGAGAUGGAGGACUCAUGAGCCAGAGUUACAUCCCUACUUUGUACAUGGAGAUUUAUGGGAGUCUUUCAAGGACUGGAGUGCGUACGGUGCAUGGGUCACAAAAUGGGAGUGACUCUGUUAUGUACUAUGUUCCUUAUUUGUCUGCUAUUCAGCUCUAUGUAGACCCAUCAAAGCCCUCCACAAGAAUAAGGUCAACAAUAUUGUAAACACAAGACUUUCAAUCAAUUCAGUCUGUGAUUUUUCUGCUUAAGCACUCUGGAUUAUAGUUUAUGUUUGCAGCUGCUAACUCUGGUGCAAUGUUCAUUCCUUAAUGUUUCUGUUCAUCCUUUAUUGUGUAUAGUUUAUGGGUUCACAUAGAUGUCAUUUUUUGGGGAAAAUCUUGAGGAAAUUUGAAUUUAGUGACUGAAGCAGAUGGAGCAUGCUGUGCAUUUUGGUGUGAUUAAUUUUUUCAUUAUCAUUGUUGGAUUCCUUGCACUUCUAUUGAGGUUGUUAUAUA